rnacentral:rRNA from 1 species
AGUGAACGCUGGCGGCGUGCCUAAUACAUGCAAGUCGAACGGAAUUUAAAAGAGCUUGCUCUUUUGAAUUUAGUGGCGCACGGGUGAGUAAUAUAUAGCUAAUCUGCCCCUUGCUGGAGGACAACAGUUAGAAAUGACUGCUAAUACUCCAUACUCCUUUUUACCAUAAGAUAAAUCGGGAAAGAAUUUCGGCAAGGGAUGAGACUAUAUCGUAUCAGCUAGUCGGUGGGGUAACGGCCUACCGAGGCUAUGACGCGUAACUGGUCUGAGAGGAUGAUCAGUCACAUUGGAACUGAGACACGGUCCAAACUCCUACGGGAGGCAGCAGUAGGGAAUAGUGCGCAAUGGGGGAAACCCUGACGCAGCAACGCCGCGUGGAGGAUGACACUUUUCGGAGCGAAAACUCCUUUUGUUAGGGAAGAAUAAUGACGGUACCUAACGAAUAAGCACCGGUAA